rnacentral:misc_RNA from 1 species
GUUUGUUCAUGUACCGCCAGUACCGCCGCGUGUAGGACGUACUAACAAACUUUCUCUUUACGUCCGCGCGGCAAUCACAACCUCGUGGUUUUUGGCGUUGCCUUAUAAGCCGUGCCCUCCAUUCGUUCGUUGCGGGAAGCGGCGUCCAAAGCAAUCGAAGCCUCGUGGUUUUUGGCGUGGCCUGUUUGGCUGUAUCGCGCCGUUCCCUCCGUUCGUUCCUGGCGGAGCGACGUCCAAAGACCUACAGAAGGGCUCUUUAUGUCCCUCUGUCCGGUGGUGGUCGCAAGCGAGGCCUGCACCGUUAUUGCCAUCACCAUAGUCUGAAGACCUACAGCAGGGCUCUGUCUGGCUCUGCGUCGCUCUGUCCAGUGGUGGUUGCAAGCGAGGCCUGCACCGUAAUUGCCAUCACCAUACUCUGAAGACCUACAGCAGGGCUCUGCCUGGCUCUGCGUCCCUCUGUCCAGUGGUGGUCGCAAGCGAGGCCUGCACCGUAAUUGCCAUCACCAUAGUCUGAAGACCUACAGCAGGGCUCUGCCUGGCUCUGCGUCCCUCUGUCCAGUGGUGGUCGCAAGCGAGGCCUGCACCGUAAUUGCCAUCACCAUAGUCUGAAGAAGCUACUCUCUCGCACAAACGAUCUGGAGCCUGGCUUUCUCCAAGACAUCACUGAUGGGAAGCUCUAUGGAGAGUCCAAUUUUUUUAUUGCUGAUGGACUCUGUAAGGGCAACUAUAACACAACUGGUACCCGAGAUACCCGAUGACCAACUUGACGCACUGGUGACCCACCUUGUGGAGGAGGGAUACAGUACAGCAAAAGACCUUCUAUACUUGGAAGAACAGGACUUAAAGCCUUUCCUCAAGACCUUGCAUAUCAGGAAGCUUUUACAUCUCAUAAAAUCUGGGUCCCA